rnacentral:misc_RNA from 1 species
GCAAACUUGGUCAUUUAGAGGAAGUAAAAGUCGUAACAAGGUUUCCGUAGGUGAACCUGCGGAAGGAUCAUUAUCGUAUCACAGGAGACGCUAGGGGCUGUCGCUGACGCAAGUUGUGCACGCCUUUAGUGUUCUCUCAAUACAUCCACAUCACCCCUGUGCAUCAUCGCGUGGGUCGUCGAACGCCUGACGGUGUUGACGGCUUGCGUCUUUAUACAAACCCCUUUAAAUGUAUUAGAAUGUCUACUUUGCGAUAUAACGCAAUCAAUACAACUUUCAACAACGGAUCUCUUGGCUCUCGCAUCGAUGAAGAACGCAGC